CUCCAACCCAUGUGACCAUACCAAACUGUUGCCUCGGCGGGGUCACGCCCCGGGUGCGUCGCAGCCCCGGAACCAGGCGCCCGCCGGAGGGACCAACCAAACUCUUUCUGUAGUCCCCUCGCGGACGUUAUUUCUUACAGCUCUGAGCAAAAAUUCAAAAUGAAUCAAAACUUUCAACAACGGAUCUCUUGGUUCUGGCAUCGAUGAAGAACGCAGCGAAAUGCGAUAAGUAAUGUGAAUUGCAGAAUUCAGUGAAUCAUCGAAUCUUUGAACGCACAUUGCGCCCGCCAGUAUUCUGGCGGGCAUGCCUGUCCGAGCGUCAUUUCAACCCUCGAACCCCUCCGGGGGUCCGGCGUUGGGGAUCGGGAACCCCUAAGACGGGAUCCCGGCCCCGAAAUACAGUGGCGGUCUCGCCGCAGCCUCUCAUGCGCAGUAGUUUGCACAACUCGCACCGGGAGCGCGGCGCGUCCACGUCCGUAAAACACCCAACUUCUGAAAUGUUGACCUCGGAUCAGGUAGGAAUACCCGCUGAACUUAAGCAUAUCAAUA
rnacentral:rRNA from 1 species